CGUGGUUAACCUGCCCUUGGGACGGAAACACCCCCGGGAAACUGGGGCUAAUUUCCGAUAGGUGAAGGCUCCUGGAAUGGAUCUUCGCCUAAAGGGCGCUUAGGCCAUGCUUCUAGGCGCUGCCCAAGGAUGGGGCCGCGGCCGAUCAGGUUGUUGGUGAGGUAAUGGCUCACCAAGCCUUUAACCGGUUCGGGCCGUGGGAGCGGGAGCCCGGAGAUGGGCACUGAGACAAGGGCCCAGGUCCUACGGGGCGCAGCAGUCGCGAAAACUCCGCAAUACGCGAAGGCGUGACGGGGCUAUCCCGAGUGCCGUCCGCUGAGGAUGGCUUUUCUCCAGUGUAGAUAGCUGGGGGAAUAAGGAGAGGGCAAGUCUGGUGUCAGCCGCCGCGGUAAUACCAGCUCUCCGAGUGGUGGGGACGUUUAUUGGGCCUAAAGCAUCCGUAGCCAGCUGAGCAAGUCCCCAGUUAAAUCCAGCGAUUUAAUCGUUGGACUGCUGGGGAUACUGUCCGGCUAGGGGGUGGGAGAGGCCGACGGUAUUCCCGGGGUAGGGGUGAAAUCCUAUAAUCCCGGGAGGACCACCAGUGGCGAAGGCUGUUGGCUAAAACAUGCCCGACGGUGAGGGAUGAAAGCUGGGGGAGCGAACCGGAUUAGAUACCCGGGUAGUCCCAGCUGU
rnacentral:rRNA from 1 species